GUGCUCCCCAGCUGUGUGAAGCUGAUGUCCCGGCUGAAGGACGAGUCAUCCAUCUCAUCCUUGAGAGACCUUAGCUCACACCUCAGACUGUGCUCGACCGAGACAGCCUGGAGGAAGGGAGGAGAGAGGGAGAGAGAGCGAUCCCUGAACUGCAGGUGAGUGUUUACCUCAGCCAGCUGUUCGACCAGUCGAUGGUUGUGAUUGGCUAGCUGAGUGAGCUGCUCGCUCUCAUCCCGCCUCCGGUCCCGCCCCCGGCUGUGAUGUCGCUCCAGCUCCUCACGCAAGCUUGUGAUGUCAGAGGUGAGCUCCGCUUCUCUCUGGCCUAGCGUCAUCUCGCUCAUGUCCAACCUUCUCUGGAGCACAUGCUUCUCCUGUUGCAGAACCUGACACACACAAACAAAAACACAUACA